UUCGCAAUGCCCGAAAGGGUGACGAAGCGACGCCGCGUGUGGGAAGAAGGCCUUCGGGUUGUAAACCACUGUCGGGAGUUAAGAAAUGCAAGGAUAUUAAUAGUGUCUUUGUUUGACUAAGGCUCCGGAGGAAGCCACGGCUAACUCUGUGCCAGCAGCCGCGGUAAUACAGAGGCGGCAAGCGUUGUUCGGAAUUAUUGGGCGUAAAGAGCACGUAGGCGGCUGUGUAAGUCGGUUGUGAAAGCCUUCCGCUUAACGGAAGAACGGCAUCCGAUACUGCAUAGUUUGAGUGCGAGAGGGGAGAGUGGAACUUCUGGUGGAGCGGUGAAAUGCGUAGAUAUCAGAAGGAACACCGGCGGCGAAGGCGACUCUCUGGUCCGUAACUGACGCUGAGUGUGCGAAAGCUAGGGGAGCAAACGGGAUUAGAUACCCCGGUAGUCCUAGCCGUAAACGAUGGGCACUAAGUAGAGGGGUUUU
rnacentral:rRNA from 1 species